GAUGAAGAACGCAGCGAAAUGCGAUACUUGGUGUGAAUUGCAGAAUCCUGUGAACCAUCGAGUCUUUGAACGCAAGUUGCGCCUCAAGCCAUUAGGUUGAGGGCACGUCUGCCUGGGCGUCACAUAUCGUUGCCUGAUGCCAGUUUCCUCGUGAUGGGUGACUGUGCAGGGCGAAUGAUGGCUUCCCGUGAGCAUUGUUGCCUCAUGGUUGGUUGAAAAUUGAGUCCUUGGUAGGGAGCGCCGUGAUAGAUGGUGGUUGAGUGACGAACGAGACCCAAUCAUGUGAGACCCCUACCGAAUUUGGCCUUCAUGACCCACAUGCGUCUUUGGAACGCUCAUGACGAGACCUCAGGUCAGGCGGGGCUACCCGCUGAGUUUAAGCAUAUCAAUAAGCGGAGGA
rnacentral:misc_RNA from 1 species